UACAGAGGGUGCGAGCGUUGUUCGGAAUCAUUGGGCGUAAAGCGCUUGUAGGCGGCUUGUUAAGUCGCGUGUGAAAUCCCUUGGGCUCAACCCGAAGGAAGUGCGACGCGAAACUGGCGAGCUCGAGUGCCGGAGGAGGGUCGCGGAAUUCCCGGUGUAGAGGUGAAAUUCGUAGAUAUCGGGAGGAACACCAGUGGCGAAGGCAGCUCACUACACGGUCAUUGACACUGGAGGCAACGAAAGCGUGGGGAUCAAACAGG
rnacentral:rRNA from 1 species